rnacentral:rRNA from 1 species
AUUGAACGCUGGCGGCAUGCCUUACACAUGCAAGUCGAACGGUAACAGGUCUUCGGAUGCUGACGAGUGGCGAACGGGUGAGUAAUACAUCGGAACGUGCCCGAUCGUGGGGGAUAACGAGGCGAAAGCUUUGCUAAUACCGCAUACGAUCUACGGAUGAAAGCGGGGGAUCUUCGGACCUCGCGCGGACGGAGCGGCCGAUGGCAGAUUAGGUAGUUGGUGGGAUAAAAGCUUACCAAGCCGACGAUCUGUAGCUGGUCAGAGAGGAUGAUCAGCCACACUGGGACUGAGACACGGCCCAGACUCCUACGGGAGGCAGCAGUGGGGAAUUUUGGACAAUGGGCGAAAGCCUGAUCCAGCCAUGCCGCGUGCAGGAUGAAGGCCUUCGGGUUGUAAACUGCUUUUGUACGGAACGAAAAGCCUCUUUCUAAUAAAGAGGGGUCAUGACGGUACCGUAAGAAUAAGCACCGGCUAACUACGUG